AGCGAACGCUGGCGGCAGGCCUAAUACAUGCAAGUCGAGCGCACCUUCGGGUGAGCGGCGGACGGGUGAGUAACGCGUGGAACGUGCCCUUUGGUACGGGAUAACUGAGGGAAACUUCAGCUAAUACCGUAUGUGCCCUACGGGGGACAGAUUUAUCGCCAUUGGAGCGGCCCGCGUUGGAUUAGGUAGUUGGUGAGGUAAAGGCUCACCAAGCCUACGAUCCAUAGCUGGUCUGAGAGGAUGAUCAGCCACACUGGGACUGAGACACGGCCCAGACUGCUACGGGAGGCAGCAGUAGGGAAUCUUGCGCAAUGGGCGAAAGCCUGACGCAGCCAUGCCGCGUGAAUGAUGAAGGUCUUAGGAUUGUAAAAUUCUUUCACCGGGGAAGAUAAUGACGGUACCCGGAGAAGAAGCCCCGGCUAACUUCGUGCCAGCCGCCGCCGUAAAAC
rnacentral:rRNA from 1 species